CCUCUUUUAUAAAAAUAUAGGCAGAAAAGCCCUUUCUAUUAACCACAUUUGUAAAUACAUUAUAUGCAUAAUCUUUUAAGUUUUAGUUCCUGGAUCCUUGCCAUAAUACUGAGAUGAUGUUAGUCUAAUAACUUGCCCACUUACUGGAUUUCAUGACUAUAAUAAAGAAAAGCUUCAUUUGAUUAAAUAGCUCUUUUAAAUUUGGUAAGAGAACUUGUGGUUCAGCAGAAUUUUUCAUUAACAUACCUUUUUUUCCAAUCCAGAAUCACAACUUUGUUGCCAGCUGAAGUUCUGGUUACCCAUAGGAUGUGCAGCCUUUGUUGUAGUCUGCAUUUUGGGAUGCAUACUUAUUUGUUGGCUUACAAAAAAGAAGUAUUCAUCCAGUGUGCACGACCCUAACGGUGAAUACAUGUUCAUGAGAGCAGUGAACACAGCCAAAAAAUCUAGACUCACAGGUAUGACUCCAUUUGGGGGUUUGGGAAGGGAAGAGGUUUCUUCACAGUAAGCCUGGAAUGUUAAUUUUUUUUUUUUUAAUUUUAAAGGAAAGGAAAACAUCUCCAAGGCCUAAUUCUAGAAUUUUCUGUGAAAAUCUGGAUUUCUCACUUUUAACUAGAUUUAUAUUUUCUGCAGUAUAUUGAAAACAAACAAGCAAUAGAUGUGACCCUAUAAUAUGGAACUCUGGCACCCAGGCAUGAAGCACGUUGGCCAGUUUUCCUCAACUUGAAGUGCAAGAUUCUCUUAUUUCCGGGACCACGGAGAGUCUGACUUAACUACAUACAUCUUCUGCUGGUGUUUUGUUCAAUCUGGAAGAAUGACUGUAUCAGUCAAUGGGGAUUUUAACAGACUGCCUUGGUACUGCCGAGUCCUCUCAAAACAAACACCCUCUUGCAACCAGCUUUGGAGAAAGCCCAGCUCCUGUGUGCUCACUGGGAGUGGAAUCCCUGUCUCCACAUCUGCUCCUAGCAGUGCAUCAGCCAGUAAAACAAACACAUUUACAAGAAAAAUGUUUUAAAGAUGCCAGGGGUACUGAAUCUGCAAAGCAAAUGAGCAGCCAAGGACCAGCAUCUGUCCGCAUUUCACUAUCAUACUACCUCUUCUUUCUGUAGGGAUGAGAAUUCCUCUUUUAAUCAGUCAAGGGAGAUGCUUCAAAGCUGGAGCUAUUUUAUUUCUGAGAUGUUGAUGUGAACUGUACAUUAGUACAUACUCAGUACUCUCCUUCAAUUGCUGAACCCCAGUUGACCAUUUUACCAAGACUUUAGAUGCUUUCUUGUGCCCUCAAUUUUCUUUUUAAAAAUACUUCUACAUGACUGCUUGACAGCCCAACAGCCACUCUCAAUAGAGAGCUAUGUCUUACAUUCUUUCCUCUGCUGCUCAAUAGUUUUAUAUAUCUAUGCAUACAUAUAUACACACAUAUGUAUAUAAAAUUCAUAAUGAAUAUAUUUGCCUAUAUUCUCCCUACAAGAAUAUUUUUGCUCCAGAAAGACAUGUUCUUUUCUCAAAUUCAGUUAAAAUGGUUUACUUUGUUCAAGUUAGUGGUAGGAAACAUUGCCCGGAAUUGAAAGCAAAUUUAUUUUAUUAUCCUAUUUUCUACCAUUAUCUAUGUUUUCAUGGUGCUAUUAAUUACAAGUUUAGUUCUUUUUGUAGAUCAUAUUAAAAUUGCAAACAAAAUCAUCUUUAAUGGGCCAGCAUUCUCAUGGGGUAGAGCAGAAUAUUCAUUUAGCCUGAAAGCUGCAGUUACUAUAGGUUGCUGUCAGACUAUACCCAUGGUGCCUCUGGGCUUGACAGGUCAAAAUGGUCCCCAUCAGCCUGGAGCAGCCCUCCAGACCUGGGUGGAAUUCCAGGGUUGAGAGACUCCCCUGAGCCAGAGGCCACUAGGUAUUCUUGCUCCCAGAGGCUGAAGUCACCCUGGGAAUCACAGUGGUCUACCUGCAUUCAUAAUUCCAGGAUCUGUGAAGAGCACAUAUGUGUCAGGGCACAAUUCCCUCUCAUAAAAACCACACAGCCUGGAAAUUGGCCCUGGCCCUUCAAGAUAGCCUUCUUUAGAAUAUGAUUUGGCUAGAAAGAUUCUUAAAUAUGUGGAAUAUGAUUAUUCUUAGCUGGAAUAUUUUCUCUACUUCCUGUCUGCAUGCCCAAGGCUUCUGAAGCAGCCAAUGUCGAUGCAACAACAUUUGUAACUUUAGGUAAACUGGGAUUAUGUUGUAGUUUAACAUUUUGUAACUGUGUGCUUAUAGUUUACAAGUGAGACCCGAUAUGUCAUUAUGCAUACUUAUAUUAUCUUAAGCAUGUGUAAUGCUGGAUGUGUACAGUACAGUACUGAACUUGUAAUUUGAAUCUAGUAUGGUGUUCUGUUUUCAGCUGACUUGGACAACCUGACUGGCUUUGCACAGGUGUUCCCUGAGUUGUUUGCAGGUUUCUGUGUGUGGGGUGGGGUAUGGGGAGGAGAACCUUCAUGGUGGCCCACCUGGCCUGGUUGUCCAAGCUGUGCCUCGACACAUCCUCAUCCCCAGCAUGGGACACCUCAAGAUGAAUAAUAAUUCACAAAAUUUCUGUGAAAUCAAAUCCAGUUUUAAGAGGAGCCACUUAUCAAAGAGAUUUUAACAGUAGUAAGAAGGCAAAGAAUAAACAUUUGAUAUUCAGCAACUGAAAAUACCUCACUGUGUUUUCUUGGGGGGAGCAGGGAAUUGAUUACCUUAGCUAGCAUGUAC
rnacentral:lncRNA from 1 species